AGCGAACGCUCGCGGCAGGCUUAACACCUCCACGUCGUGCGGGCAAUUCCGGGUGUCGGCGGCGGUCGGGUGGGUAAUGCGAGGGAACGUGCUCUCCGGCUCGGAAUAAAGCCGGGAAAAUUCAGCUAAUAUCGGAUACGCCCUUUUGGGGAAAGGCUUGCUGCAGGAGGAUCGGCCCGCGUCUGCUUAGCUAGCUGGUGAGGUAUCGGCUCACCAAGGCGACGAUCAGUAGCUCGUCUGAGAGGAUGAUCAGCCACACUGGGACUGAGACACGGCCCAGACUCCUACGGGAGGCAGCAGUGGGGAGUAUGGGACGAUGGGCGCAAGCCUGAUCCAGCCAUGCCGCGUGAGAGAUGAAGGGCUUAGGGUUGUAAAGCUCUGUUAGCCGGGACGAGAAUGACGGUACCGGAGGAAUAGACCCCGGCUAACUUCGUC
rnacentral:rRNA from 1 species